GCCUCGAUGGCGCAAUAGGCAGCGCGUGAGUCUCAUAAUCUCAAGGUCGUGAGUUCGAUCCUCACUCGGGGCA
rfam:Ciona savignyi cont_18671, whole genome shotgun sequence.